ensembl:lncRNA
UAUGUGUUUCCAUCCAUCCAUUGUCAAACCGCUUAUCCUGCACACAGGGUCGCGGGGGGGCUGGAGUCCAUCCCAGCCAACUUCGGGCGAUACACGGGGUACAUCCUGGAUUGGUUGCCAGCCAAUCGCAGGGCUACACAGAGACAUACAACCAUUCACACAUACAGGCAAUUUAGAGUCCCCAAUCAACCUGAUCCCCAGAGCAUGUCUUUGGACUGUGGGAGGAAGGCAGAGAACCCGGAGAGAACCCACGCAGACACGGGGAGAACAUGCAGACUCCACACAGAAAGGCCACUGGGCGGAAUCGAAGCCAGGACCUUCUAGCUGUGAGGCGACUGUGUUUCCAUCCAAUAUGAAUAAAAAUUAAAUGUACACCUCUCAGUAUAAUCCAGUAAGCGCUGAUUUUCCUUAUCUUCUUUAGAAAGAAAUUUGACCGUACAGCAAUUGUUAUCUGAUCCAUUGAGAUAUUUACCCAAAUUCUGUAUAAUUCUGUAUAAUAUAUAUAUAUAAUAUAUUUCUGCCUUAUUAAAUCAUAAUUUCUUUUGAUUUUAGAGAAGGCUAUCAUUUGUAUUUUGGGCAAUGGAGGAUCCAUAUAUUGAAACAAAGCAGAACACAGGUGUUAUUUGGGGUUGGUUUGAGUUGGAUUCUUGACUUUCUGGUGCAUUUUAAGAAUUUAGUUACAGUCUGGCAACAGCUCUGUCCUCUUGUCUGAGUAGACCUCCGAUUUCCUGUUCUUCUUGAGUGCUCAAAAUUUAUUUUCACCACCUGAACAAAAAAAACACUGUCAGACACAUGAUGGCACUGUUGCCCUACACUUUUUGAAAUACUGACUCACGAUGCACCAAGGUUGAACAAGAUGUAGAGCACCUCCUCCAUCUCUCAGGUUGUCCAUGUCCUGAAUCAUAAACCUCUCCCAACAACAAUCCAUGCUCAAAUACUGGAUUCAGGCAUGUAUGGAACUUUAUUAUCUUGUUUCCUCUCGCAGCAGCACAUAUCACCUCACCUUGGCCUUUUCCUCAUUGGUCACAUGGGUAUGCUCUUAUGACAUGUGAAGCAUACGGUGUUUCCUCUCGGGAAAGGGGAUUGGACCAUUUCUUGGCAAUGAUCUCCUAGAGACUCCUAGAGGGAAUGCUGUGUGAUGCGGGUGUGUUUGUGUCUAUAUGUAUGCAUGUAUAUGUGCAUAUCUACGUAUGGAUAUGUGAGUAUAUGCAUAUGUAUAUUCAUGAUAAUGGAUGGCGGAUUUCUUAUGUAUAUCUGAAAAUCAAUAAAAAAAUUGGAUCACAAAAAAACUAAAUUGCGAGGGAUGGUGGAUUGCAUGGAUGACAGGAAGGCUGGAAAGUUGAGCAUGUGAAUGUCAAAGCUCGGCCAGAAAAGUGCGACAGGGAAGAUGGACUGAUGAUUGAAGGGAUGACAUCAGGGGGUUUGUGGAGGAAGGCUGCACAGUCACUUACCAAGGAAUUUGCAUGACUUCAAAAUUCUCUUGGGAAAGCAAAAUGGCUUACAUUACAAAUGUUGGGGACAUUUAAGGAGUGUAUUUAAGUAGUAUCUUAAGUAGUAUUUCUUAAUCUUUUUUUUGAUCUUAUGAGUAUCAGUUAUGUUUCCAUUUUUUCUAUACGGCGGUCUGUCUGAGGAAAAAAAAUCAAACUCUUCGAAUUACUGGCAUUUUACUACUGAAUUGUUUUAUUCUGUAACUGAAGAAUCUGAACUGACAAAAAAACCUAUAUAUUUUAAAUACUUAUGUAAAUAUAUUAAAAUCUUUGCUGCCUUCCCUUGAUGUUCGUCCCCUUAAUUGCGAAAGCCAUGGCAAACACUAAAACCAGUUGGAAAAGGGUUUUAAUUGCUGAAAAAGUACUGCUUCAAGGCUGCACACAGUUUGCUUUCCAGUUGAGAUCCAUUUCCAAGACCUCCUAAAUUAAAGUUGUUUAUUUCAAUCAAAAUUCUUUCAGAAAAAAAUGUAUUGCAUUAUGUACAGUAUGUGACUUACUUUAAUUACAGCCUUGCAGUGCAGAAGAUGAAAUGUAGGAAUGAAAUGUACUUUGUUUAUAGAUUCGUAUGGAUGAAUUCACUGAAUGUUAAACAGGCUAUCCUUUUUUGCUUUCAUAACAGGAGCUAUUUGUUUUUCAUUUCCAAAGAUUUUCAAAAUGUAAUUUAUUGCUCCUCAAAUGGUUGUCAAGAUUACUAUUCCAUUCAACUCGCUAAAUUACGCACAGACUGAUUGGCAUACACAGCACAUUUAUAUUUUUAAAAAGCCAUAAUAUACACACGCACACUCUCUGCUGGGUGGUUAGCAGGAUACGUUCGUUGUUGGCUUUGGUCUUAUUUCAACAAACAUUUUUGAAUUCAUACUUCAUACAGAAAAAAAAAAGUGCAGAUGUGAUUCUUCAUUGAUUCAUUUGCAACAUAAUCACACUCCAGUGUUACUGCUUUCACUGCUUCCAAAAGCCAAAUUCAUUACUAUCUUAAUCGUAACCUUUUUUUAUAUCAUUCAACACAAUUGAAUCCUUAAUAUUACAGCUUUCCCUUUAUGCCUCUGUUGUUCCAUAGACUCACCCCCUUCCCAACACACACACAAUGCCCCUAAGAGGGCAGUUAUUGUAAAUUUAAAUAAAGCCUCAUUCAAACAAAUAAUCCAUUGGACUUGACUCAUUACUACAUAAGAGCCAAAUUGGUUGUCUCACAGGACUGUGUUAUCUUUUUUACCCCGGCCAAAAAGAAACAUUGUUCAUUGCUCGGAUUGGAUUCCUCUAUGUAAUUUGAUUUCUAAAAACAAAAUCCAGAUGUGAAUUACUUUUAUUUUUUGUAUGCGUCCGCUGCUGGUAUUCCACAAGAGGGGGAGAAGAGAAAUAGCUAUUGAAUUAUUUGCAGUUGGUUAUUGGAAAUGACACACUGGUUCAGGUUGAUCCAGAACCUGUUCUCAAACUAUUGCUCUAGUCUGUUUAUGACUUGAGUGCUUUUCUACAGCUUUGUCAAAAGCCGCAGAAGCAUUGUCAUUCAACACUACUGCUUUGAAUAUGAGGCAGCAAACGGUCUUUUCUCAUAGCUGAAAGAGUAUAGAAAAAAUAAAUAACCAAAGUCCUUAUCUGAGUGAGGAGCCUGAUUAGUUGUAAUCAUUCAUUUGUAUGUUUCAAAUUUGCGAUGUCCAAUAACCUAAAUGUCCUGAGCUGCCUCUUGCGAGGUUAUCUCCCUUUUUAUCUGCCCUGCCAUUAAAACCUUUCACCUGGCCUCAGUGGCCCUAAUUUUUGUGUCACCAUAAGCCAAAGCUUGUGGGGUUGGACUAAGACAAAAUGUGUGUUCAUAGGAGAGUGCAUCGUCCCUUGUUCAAGUAUGCUCAGUGUGAGCAAUUUACGGUUUCCCAAAGGACAAAAGGCGUCCUUGUGUGCUUGAGUAUUCCCUCUGAAAGGCUGCAGUGAAGUGUGGUGCACUCGCACAGGCUGCUUGAUGUCCUCUCAACCCAAUUCAAAGUCGUAUUUUGGUUUUAGAUCCACUCGACUGGAUAAGUCUGGAUCUGUGAAAACUUUAUUGUUUCUGAGCUCUCUUGUGUCGGUUUUUAAAAGUAAGGCAUUUGGAGAUAGUUUACUUCUUAGAUAUGUUUGAUAAAGAGGCCAGGGAUGGACUCAUUAGGAAGAAAUUACAGUUCUAGUGUUUGGUUGUAGAAAAUGAUCUUUCUGAUGGAAGUGGUGAUGAUGUAGUUAGUGAUAUUUGGAGGAGUAGAUAUCAAUAUUGCUGUCAAGUUCAGAAUGAAGGUUUCUAUUGUGUUUAAUUUCCAUAUGUCUGCUUUACUAUAUAUUGGAUUUUCCCUUUGCCUUUAGCCUUUGACUUCAUAGAGAUUGGCUCACACACAUUUAAACUGAAGGUAAUAGUAUAUUUGUAGCCUAAACUUCCCGUGAGGACAGAAGUUUAUUUAGCAAAGACAUUUAGCAUGUAAUGGAUAUUAGAGGGAAGGAAAAUGUAAUGUGGGCGUGGUUGGGCUGAGCUGUAGGGUAAACUGAAAACACACCUCUACCGACCUGGACUAGUUAGCUAGCCCUCACAAUGGCACUUAAGUAUAGCCCUUUGUGGCUUGGCUUUCUUGAAGAAAUUGUAUUGUCUUGGCUCUGUACACUCUUGGUUGAAUGCACUUAAUGUAAGUUGCUUUGGAUAAAUAUAACUGGAAAGUUUAGGUUUAGGGAACAGUGCCAUGGUCUUCUCUUAGUAGUAGUACCAGGAGGACAGACGUGAUGUGAAGUGUGAGUAUUCUCGGAAGGAGAGAAAAUAACAUUUAUGAAAUGCUGUUGGGUACACUGCCGUUAUUUGGCUCAGAGUCCACGAGUAAGUGGAUCUUGUUACACGUACGACAUGUGAACAAAAAAAGAAUAAUUUCAGUUCCUUCUGAAUAUAUAUCAGUAAAAAACAGCCUUUAAAAACUAUCAAUUUUAACUAUAGAGCUGGAUUUCACCUAUAAAAAAAGUCACAAGUCAUCAGACAAUAGUGGGUUAUAUUUCAGUCACACAGCUCCAGCUGAAGUCACACACUUCAAAGUGCAAUUAAAGGUGAGACCAAUUCAGUUCCAAUCCUAUAUUGCUCAGACCUAUGGGUUGGAGAGGAAAGUGCACUUACAUACUGCUUUGCUGGCUUACUUGGCAUUGUGAAAAAAUAAGAAACUAUUAUACUUGAUGGUCGGUCAGUCAGUCGUCUCCUAUUUUGCUUAUCCUUAGAGGGUUGCUGGAGUCAAUCACACUCGGGCGAGAGACUGGGUAAACCGUCGCUUGGUUGCCAGUCAAUUGCAGGGCUGGCAUGAGAGUCACCAAUCUCCCUAUCCGGCAUGUGUUUGGGCUAUGGGAGGAAGCAAAAGUACCCGGAGAGAAUGUCAUGGCACAACACUGCUGACUUUAGAUUUAAAGCGCAAAAUGUGCAGAAUGUAUUUCAGUAAACUUCUUGAAUCCUGAUGUUCUUGAUGACUCUCCAGCAAACAAGACACUGAGGAAGGCUUGUAGCUGCGCUGAUAGUUUUGUCUCUUGAGUACAGCUUUACUCUGAUUAAAAUCAAAUUAAUAAGAUAUGUGCUUCUUUCCAUCCCCCAUUUUCUUUUAUUUCUUUUUAAUCUGCCAGUUAUCACUCUCUCCUCGUUAAAGCGUUCCAAGCUUCCCCCAUCUCUUCAGCCUCUCGCAUUCCCAACACAGAGCA